rnacentral:other from 1 species
GGUUUGCUGCGCGGUGCGUCAGGUCGCCAAUGUCCCUGGGGCUAUACCUACCUCUCGGGGGCUGUCCCUGCCGGAAUCCUGGUUCCGAUACAUGGCUCCCACCUGCACAAGCAGGCCACGGAGGACUUGCAUGCCAACGGCCGAGGUGGCGCCGCU